GAUGAACGCUGGCGGCGUGCCUAAUACAUGCAAGUCGAGCGAAUGGAUUAAGAGCUUGCUCUUAUGAAGUUAGCGGCGGACGGGUGAGUAACACGUGGGUAACCUGCCCAUAAGACUGGGAUAACUCCGGGAAACCGGGGCUAAUACCGGAUAACAUUUUGAACCGCAUGGUUCGAAAUUGAAAGGCGGCUUCGGCUGUCACUUAUGGAUGGACCCGCGUCGCAUUAGCUAGUUGGUGAGGUAACGGCUCACCAAGGCAACGAUGCGUAGCCGACCUGAGAGGGUGAUCGGCCACACGGGGACUGAGACACGUCCCAGACUCCUACGGGAGGUAGCAGUAGGGAAUCUUCCGCAAUGGACGAAAGUCUGACGGAGCAACGCCGCGUGAGUGAUGAAGGCUUUCGGGUCGUAAAACUCUGUUGUUAGGGAAGAACAAGUGCUAGUUGAAUAAGCUGGCACCUUGACGGUACCUAACCAGAAAGCCACGGCUAACUACGUGCCAGCAGCCGCAGUAA
rnacentral:rRNA from 1 species